rnacentral:rRNA from 1 species
AGCAGCCGCGGUAAAUUCCAGCUCCAAUAGCGUAUAUUAAAGUUGUUGCAGUUAAAAAGCUCGUAGUUGAAUUUCGGGGUUCUAUCGUUGGUCGGGCUAUCCAGUCUGUACUAGCGUGUAGAAUUCUUACCUUCUGGGGAACCAUCAUGUUAUUAAUUUAGCGUGGUGGGAAACCAGGACCUUUACCUUGAAAAAAUUAGAGUGUUCAAAGCAGGCUUACGUCUGAAUACAUUAGCAUGGAAUAAUAGAAUAGGACGGUGGUCCUGUUUUGUUGGUUUCUGAAUCACCGUAAUGAUUAAUAGGGAUAGUUGGGGGCAUUAGUAUUCAAUUGUCAGAGGUGAAAUUCUUGGAUUUAUUGAAGACUAACUUCUGCGAAAGCAUUUGCCAAGGAUGUUUU